rnacentral:rRNA from 1 species
CCUACGGGAGGCAGCAGCUAAGAAUCUUCCGCAAUGGGAGGAAUCCUGACGGAGCGACGCCGCGUGAACGAUGAAGGCAGAAAUGUUGUAAAGUUCUUUUGUAUGGGAAGAAUAAGGGGAGGAGUGGAAAGCCUCUCUGAUGACGGUACCAUACGAAUAAGCCACGGCUAACUACGUGCCAGCAGCCGCGGUAAUACGUAGGUGGCAAGCGUUGUUCGGAAUCAUUGGGCGUAAAGGGCAUGUAGGUGGUUUUACAAGUGUGAGUUAAAAUACCGAAGCUUAACUUCGAGUAUGGCUUGCAAACUGUAAGACUGAAGUGUGGAAGGGGAGACUGAAAUUCCGCGUGUAGGGGUGAAAUCUGUAGAUAUGCGGAAGAAUACCUGUGGCGAGGGCGGCCCUCUGGCGCUUGACUGACGCUGAGGCGCGAAAGCGUGGGGAGCAAACAGGAUUAGAUACCCGGGUAGU